AAGACACCCUUAUGGGGCAGGACUUGCUUCAGUGGGGCUCUGACACUCACUGAGUCUGCCCCAAGUGUGUCUUU
rnacentral:pre_miRNA from 1 species